CCUACGGGCGGCAGCAGUGAGGAAUAUUGGUCAAUGGGCGCGAGCCUGAACCAGCCAAGUAGCGUGAAGGAGGACUGCCCUACGGGUUGUAAACUUCUUUUAUAAAGGAAUAAAGUGAGGCACGUGUGCCUUUUUGUGUGUACUUUAUGAAUAAGGAUCGGCUAACUCCGUGCCAGCAGCCGCGGUAAUACGGAGGAUCCGAGCGUUAUCCGGAUUUAUUGGGUUUAAAGGGAGCGUAGAUGGGUUGUUAAGUCAGUUGUGAAAGUUUGCGGCUCAACCGUAAAAUUGCAAUUGAUACUGGCAGCCUUGAGUACAGUUGAGGUAGGCGGAAUUCGUGGUGUAGCGGUGAAAUGCUUAGAUAUCACGUAGAACUCCGAUUGCGAAGGCAGCUUACUAAACUGCCCCUGCCAUUGAUGCUCGACAGUGUGGGUAUCAAACAGGAUUAGAUACCCUUGUAGUC
rnacentral:rRNA from 1 species